CCGAUGGACAAAGGCAGAUUGGCCUUGGGCAGAGCCCGAUGGAGAUGCUUGAUCACCUCUCUCGAGGAGAUGCUUGCCGAGCAAGCCAGUCUCCUCUCUUAAUUCUCUUGGCCGUGGAGAACUGGAGAUAGAGGCGAUCGCAGCCGCAGAAAGGCCAUGGUGGUGGCUGUAUUGAUCAAGCUAUGGCGACUGCUAUCCGUGGCUUUCUCAAUCUCACUUCUUCCCUUUUCCCCCCUUUCCCCCUUUCCUAUUUUUUUGGACGGUGAACAAUGGAGACUAGUCCGAUGGACAAAGACUAAGUACAACAGAAAUAUGAAUAGUCCGAUGGAUUCUAAAAACGAUUUCUUCUGGGGAGCGAGAGGAAGAGAGAUAGUGUGAGGGAGCAAGAGAGACAGUGUGGGAGAGAGAGGGAGACAUGGCAUAUGGAAGAUUGGCUCUGUUUAGUUCUACUUUGCUCUAUUUUUUCUUUCUUUGGCAGGCACGCAUGUUUCGGUGGAGGCGCUAUUUCUGGUUGCAGUUGUGGUUUUAGGGUUCGAGCUUUAUGUUUGCAGAGGCCGUCAAGUGGUGGUGGUUGUUCGUGGUUAAAGCUUUGGUUGGCCGCGGUUUCCCUACGGUGGUGGCUCCGCGUCCGCAAUGGAGCAUGGGUUCGCAUGCCUUCUCUCUGUUGGGUGUGAUGGACUCUCGAGGGACCCGUGAGGGGCACUUGUUCCAAGGCAUAAAGAGGAGAAAGAGGGUUGCCAAGUGAAGUUACGCCGAGAUGCCCUAGGAUGCGGAGCCCGAGGUGUUGGACUAUCCGUCAGAAGAUCUGCCUAGGGAGCCCGAGAUGGUUCCUCCAAUGCAGGAGCCGGUGGGGGUCCUUUAUGCUAUGAUUACUUGCACAGGGGCUCCUAUAUACUCCGGUGCUCCUACUUACUCCAGAUCUGCUCAUAUGCGAGGUGGACCCUCAGGCUCGGGGGCCUCGGGGAAUUUCAGGAGUGUGCUGUAGCCGAUCCAUGCUCUUCAGAAGAAUAAAGAGGCCAUUUUCCCCGAGGAGGUCACGGCGUGGACUGAUCUCCCUCUGCAUCAAGUGGCCUGUCGUGCC